UUAAUUUUUUUUUUUUUACAAUUUUUGUUUUUUUUAUAAUAUGUUAUAUUUUAGUUCAUAAAUUUUAAUUUUUAUAAUUUUUUGAUGGAAUUUUUUGAAUUAUUACAAUUAAAUCUCACAAUUUAAUUUUAACCGAUUAAAUAUUAAUAUUCGUUAAUGUAAAUGUGAUGUAAUAAUGUUCUGUUUAAUAAUGUGAUAAUAAUUAAGAUAUCAUAUCACUUUCAUAACAAUGUCAUAUCAAUAUUUAGUCAAUUCAAUUGAGUUGUCAAACUUUAUUGCAAUAAUUUAUAGACUUCGAAUUAGAAAUUAUAAUAAAUAAAAGGCUAAAAUACAGGAAAUCUCGUGUAAUUGUAAAUACCCAUUUUGUAAUUUUUUUGUUGACUUUCAAAAAUAUAUAUUUUGCCCCCUUAACAUUUUAAAAAUAUUUUCAAGUGUGCUGGCGUUAAUGAAGAGCAAAAUGACCAAAUUAUUCUUACUUAUUUUAUUAAAAAAAUAAUUUUUAAUAUAUUUUUAUUAUUUUGAAGAAUAUUUUUAAUAUAAAUUAUAAAAAAUAAAUGAAAUAAUAAAAAAAUCUUGAUGGUGGGGGAAUUAAUAUAUCAACUUGAAUUUUAAGAGGAUAAAAUAUAAAUUUUAUAUUUUA
rnacentral:lncRNA from 1 species